CGUCGACCGGCGCACGGGUGAGUAACGCGUAUCCAACCUUCCCAUUACUGUGGGAUAACCUGCCGAAAGGCAGACUAAUACCGCAUAGUCUUCGAUGACGGCAUCAGAUUCGAAGCAAAGAUUCAUCGGUAACGGAGGGGGAUGCGUCUGAUUAGCUUGUUGGCGGGGCAACGGCCCACCAAGGCGACGAUCAGUAGGGGUUCUGAGAGGAAGGUCCCCCACAUUGGAACUGAGACACGGUCCAAACUCC
rnacentral:rRNA from 1 species